rnacentral:lncRNA from 1 species
AGUUGAAGUCUUGUAGAGCGUACAUCUACAAGCAAGUGUAACGGUUUGUUAGGCACCCGGAAGCUUAACGGAGUUAGUAUAAACUCGAGAGAGUCUCUUGGGAGACUGGACUAACCACACCUUGUGGUGAACCAGUAUAUAUCGGUGUGUUCUUUCCUUACUCUUUUAAUUACCGCACUUAUUUUAUUCCUGCAAUUUCAAUUCCGCAAAAUCUCUCGACAUUCUCGUGCAUCACUAUUCAUCCCCCUCUAGUGAACGGCAUAAAUCUUAACAAAAACAACUAUUGUAAUGACUAUAAUGGAAAUUUCAGCAGUAAUCUUUUAGCAGGCUACCAUCUUUUCUAUAUACACUCAAUAUGCUGUUUUUUAGCUUUGAAUCCGAUGGAUCUGACCAUGUCAAAGAUCAGACCCACCCAGAGCAUGACUUCACACAUGUUACCAGCAACAGCACCACACAGGCUCAGCCAAUAAAGACAAGAAUGUUAGACCAGAAUGACAAAAGGAACAAUAUACAUAGCCCAAAUCCAACCAAUGACAAGUACUGUAUUUAACACACAAAAUAUAGGUUUUUCAUGGCACAAAGAAUAUUGAGUUGAUAGGGAAUCACAUGGUCAAAGAGACUCAAAUAUUAUUGCAUUUACGAAGAAGAAUCUCAAAACAAAACAUUAAACAGAAAUCUCUUACACUCAUAUCAAUUCAGAUUUACAGGCACUUAAACAUAGGGUGGAGUGUGUACAUAAUUGCUUAAGAAUUGAUCCGAACUUGCUAAGUAAAGGCAAGUAGUCAGCAACAAAGAGACAGCAAUAAUAAAGAGUAUUCAGCUUCAAUAUCAUAUCUCACUUUAGCCUAAGAACCCCGAAAUCCAAAGGAGACUGCUCCAAAUUUUAGUGAAGAAGAAAAAAAUGAAAGAGCUAAUUUAAAAAAAACAAGUUGGAUUUUUUCAGAGAGUUUUUCAGGUCUGUUUUUCUCUCAUUGAAUGAGGAGAGGGUUCUAUAUAUACCCUAAAGAGCUAUUGUGUGCUCUCGAAAUCAGGAAUAAUUUCCUUUGAAAACAGCUCUCAAAGAGCAUCUUUUUAAAAGAAU